rnacentral:rRNA from 1 species
AUGUUCCUUCAACACUUGUGUUCUACAUAUUGUAGCAGCAAGGUGGAGUUGCUCCUCCACGACCUUUGUGCUGCUUCAUCGAGCCACAUGUCAUCCCAACGGUCAUCGUUAGGGGAGAAGAUUGAUGUCCCGCCUGCCUCGACGAUAUCGCACGGCGAUAUGGCCAGUGCCUUGCGCCGACGCCUGUUGGUACGCUCCGCGCGGCGCCUUGCUGUCCUCUCCGCCCAAAAGGCGUUCUCGGCGGCGACAUCCUCCGGGUGGCGCCGGCGCCACUCCGCCAUGGCUCGCUCGUCCUCCACGGCGACGAGGAGGCGGCGCUGCAGCCGAACAUGGUCUGCACAGUCCUGGUCCGUGAUCAGAUGA